UUUGGCUGCCAGCCGGCCCGUAUCAGCACACAUUUGUGUAUCCGUUGAUUCAUGUCGGUAGAUUCCUGCUGGACGGAGCGGGGCUUCAGUAGCUGCCGGGAGGCCUGAGAGAAGCGGUGGGAGGGCUGAUUUUGAGGGAGAUUUCCAGACACAUUUUUCGCCACAUUUGUGGACUGCAUUUUAGUCGCAAACACAGGUCACGAUGACUCCAGACUGAUUUUUGUGGGAAAUAAUCUGCUUGUGUGCGUUUGAAAAUGAGUCUACGUUAAUUACGAUGAAAGGUUUCUCUGGCAUCGGCGAAGGGAAAUGAGCUCCACGUGUGGGAAAGAGCUGGAGAUGAAAAUUGGAUCAUCCUUUAGAGGAUUUCAGGAAGAGGUGGAAGAAUUGGAGCUGGCACCGCAUACAGAGAUGACACCGACCAGACGACGACCUUUCCCUCAAUCUUCUUCGAUUUGAUGCACGAUGUGAAGUGUUUUGGACAGCUGCCGUGUUGAAACUUUUCCACAGCUUGCUGAGUUGAGUUGUGAGUGAGAUAUCAUAAACCUUGGCACUGCUUUCCUGGUUCAUCGAGGGGAGGAAUAUAUUUAUGCAAGGAACAUAUGCAUGCUAAUGGCACUGUGCCACUCUAUGGAAGCUGUCAUUCUGAGAAGCAUCACAAAGGCCAAAAAAGGAGAAGUAGUGAGGAAAUGUUAUGCCAUAUGCUAACAAAUAUAUCACAGAGGCGAAGGAGCAGUUGGAACUGAAUGGAGAGAUGGAUUCAGAGGGGUACGAGUCGCUGAAACUGGCACGUACAGUAUUGAUCAAAAGCAGCUGGUGCUGAUGAGAGAAAUGAUAGCCGUGCUGAUGCUGGAACUGUAAUAGAAGAGGCAUGAGAGGAUGUGCAAGUGUAAAGAAACUGCUGUGCUGGGAGAUAAGGCCAGUUUCAUCCCAGAGUUCUGCCCUUCUGCCAUCUUCAGAAUGACUUUGCAAGCUCUACUGCGGUUCCGCUGGGACUGUGGUGGCCCACAGAGGGGAUUGGAUUUUGAUUGGAGGCAGGGCUGGAUGAAAUGAGGCAGAGGCUCGGAGGCCGGUCAGCCUGCGGGGAAGCGGAUGGGGGAAAAGGGCCCGCCCUGCAGGAGCAGAUGGGGGCGCUGAUUUCCAUGAUGUAAAUGAGACUCUGGAUGGCCAUAAUGGAACUUAAUAACCUCACUAGAGCCUUCAGCAAGAUAAAACUGUUUGUUUGCAUGUGUGUGCGUGUGUUUGCACACAAACCAUCUAUCUACCCAUCAUGCAGUUUGCAAAUGAGCCUUGUCCAGUUCACCGUGGACCUGCUGAACACAUUUCUGGGGUUCUUUGAAAACCCUUGAGGUCAGGAUUUACAUGCAGGGGUCUUGUCCUAGAUGAGCAAUAAGACGCCUUCGCUCCUGAGCUGAAGAAAGCUCUGGUUUUAAUUACGCUCGACCAAGGGGCCCCGAUACUCCCUCUGAAAGCGUUUGAUCUUCAAAGGGCCCUCCAUGUCACCAAAAAACCCAAGCAGAUUUGGUUCUCCUUCAGCAUCCGCUUCCUGGCUGAGGUCGCUGUAGGAGUGUGUGCAUGAAAAGCAUCUUCAGUGAAGUUCAAAUCUCCAGAACAUAUACACACGUGUGUCCUCGGGGCCACUCUGAGCUUUAAUGGGGUCCGCGCUUGGAUCUUUAAUUAAUGCACGCAGAUAAACAGCCGUGGGCCUUGGAAAACUCGUCUUUGUGUAACACCGCCAAAGGUUUAAGCCCCCGAGCCGUUCUCUUCCUCCAUCUGGGAACGGGGCUGAUCUUCGACGCUUAACUCUGCAUCGCGAGUUCACGGCGAAUGGCUUUCUCGUCGACGCUGCCCUCAGAUGGCAUUGUUUGAAGUUCGUAUCCCGAAGCCCUGGCAUCCUUCCUGCCUCGGCGGGUGGCGGUAACACAGCGUCGACUUGGAAACAACUCAUUGGCAAGUGCUUUUCCCGGGCUUGCUGGCUUCCUAGUUUUGGCCAGACAAUCCACCGCAGCCACAUUAAACACUUACCACUGCAACAGCAGGACUAGCGCGAGUCAAAGAUGAAGAAGACGCCGCUCAGGAUGACUGCGCUUCAAACGGCCUCGGAUUACGGGGUCUUAAACGGUCCCGGCGAAAAUAUGAACAUACGGACAAGCUGUCAUCGAGGGCGCCGCUGAUAAAGCCUGUGAAGACAUCGUGGCUCGGGGCAAAACCUGGCCUGCUGAAAGUGUCCUAAUCUGUUCCCAGAGAGCCUAUCGCCAUCCCUAUUAGAGCGGGAACAAAUGUUUGGAGACAGACAUUGUAUCUGCUUGGCCGGUCAGAGGAGUGGCUCUUGCCAGGAGUGGUCUUGUGUGACACGAGCCGACAGCGUUAUCAGUCCAGGUGCGUGUGCGAGGCAACCGCAGCAUGCAAACUGCAGAAACAAGCUGUCGCCCACUCAGCAAGAGCAGAGGAUGGCUGUAGUGGCAGCUCAGUCAGUGUGUAUAAAGGCCAUAACGCUUGUGCAAAGGCCUGGCAUGUUAGCGCAUACUAUGCACAGUAUGCCUAUUUUCU